rnacentral:misc_RNA from 1 species
CACUAAUCAAGCCCGGCUUGCCGUUGGACCUCUUGUCGUUUUGAAUGACAGGCCCCAAAGAUAAUGACGGUUGUUAAUCAGCCCCUAGAUGCAACGAGCUUUCAUUAGCACGCAUGUUAGUUGGACUGUUUAACCCGGUCGUUUGUAACCAAUUUCUUAAGGUUGACCUCGGAUCAGGUAGGAAUACCCGCUGAACUUAA